rnacentral:lncRNA from 1 species
GAAAAGAGAGAAAAGAAAAGAGACAAGAUGAAAGAAAAAAGAAAAAAAAAAUAUAUACAGAAAUAUGAGAAAAAUUAAAAAAAAAAAUUGUGUGAAUAAUGGAGCCAAGAAGAGGAUGGAGUUAGAGGUUUUGGGUGUGAGUAUAUUGUGUUUACACUUAUUCCCCAUUGCUCCUCUAUUCCUUUUGGGUUGUAGCUUCUUAUCCAUAUUUAUCCUCCCUUGUCCUUGGCCCCAUUACAUCCAUAAAAGACCUUUUGAUUUGAACAUGCAUAUAUG